ACCUUUUGUAUAAUGGGUCAGCGACUUAUAUUCUGUAGCAAGGUUAACCGAAUAGGGGAGCCGAAGGGAAACCGAGUCUUAACUGGGCGUUAAGUUGCAGGGUAUAGACCCGAAACCCGGUGAUCUAGCCAUGGGCAGGUUGAAGGUUGGGUAACACUAACUGGAGGACCGAACCGACUAAUGUUGAAAAAUUAGCGGAUGACUUGUGGCUGGGGGUGAAAGGCCAAUCAAACCGGGAGAUAGCUGGUUCUCCCCGAAAGCUAUUUAGGUAGCGCCUCGUGAAUUCAUCUCCGGGGGUAGAGCACUGUUUCGGCAAGGGGGUCAUCCCGACUUACCAACCCGAUGCAAACUGCGAAUACCGGAGAAUGUUAUCACGGGAGACACACGGCGGGUGCUAACGUCCGUCGUGAAGAGGGAAACAACCCAGACCGCCAGCUAAGGUCCCAAAGUCAUGGUUAAGUGGGAAACGAUGUGGGAAGGCCCAGACAGCCAGGAUGUUGGCUUAGAAGCAGCCAUCAUUUAAAGAAAGCGUAAUAGCUCACUGGUCGAGUCGGCCUGCGCGGAAGAUGUAACGGGGCUAAACCAUGCACCGAAGCUGCGGCAGCGACGCUUAUGCGUUGUUGGGUAGGGGAGCGUUCUGUAAGCCUGUGAAGGUGUGCUGUGAGGUAUGCUGGAGGUAUCAGAAGUGCGAAUGCUGACAUAAGUAACGAUAAAGCGGGUGAAAAGCCCGCUCGCCGGAAGACCAAGGGUUCCUGUCCAACGUUAAUCGGGGCAGGGUGAGUCGACCCCUAAGGCGAGGCCGAAAGGCGUAGUCGAUGGGAAACAGGUUAAUAUUCCUGUACUUGGUGUUACUGCGAAGGGGGGACGGAGAAGGCUAUGUUGGCCGGGCGACGGUUGUCCCGGUUUAAGCGUGUAGGCUGGUUUUCCAGGCAAAUCCGGAAAAUCAAGGCCGAGGCGUGAUGACGAGGCACUACGGUGCUGAAGCAACAAAUGCCCUGCUUCCAGGAAAAGCCUCUAAGCAUCAGGUAACAUCAAAUCGUACCCCAAACCGACACAGGUGGUCAGGUAGAGAAUACCAAGGCGCUUGAGAGAACUCGGGUGAAGGAACUAGGCAAAAUGGUGCCGUAACUUCGGGAGAAGGCACGCUGAUACGUAGGUGAAGCGACUUGCUCGUGGAGCUGAAAUCAGUCGAAGAUACCAGCUGGCUGCAACUGUUUAUUAAAAACACAGCACUGUGCAAACACGAAAGUGGACGUAUACGGUGUGACGCCUGCCCGGUGCCGGAAGGUUAAUUGAUGGGGUUAGCGCAAGCGAAGCUCUUGAUCGAAGCCCCGGUAAACGGCGGCCGUAACUAUAACGGUCCUAAGGUAGCGAAAUUCCUUGUCGGGUAAGUUCCGACCUGCACGAAUGGCGUAAUGAUGGCCAGGCUGUCUCCACCCGAGACUCAGUGAAAUUGAACUCGCUGUGAAGAUGCAGUGUACCCGCGGCAAGACGGAAAGACCCCGUGAACCUUUACUAUAGCUUGACACUGAACAUUGAGCCUUGAUGUGUAGGAUAGGUGGGAGGCUUUGAAGUGUGGACGCCAGUCUGCAUGGAGCCGACCUUGAAAUACCACCCUUUAAUGUUU
rnacentral:rRNA from 1 species